GGCCCGCGCUCCGCCGCCGCGCGGUGGGGGAGGGGCGGGGCGGGCCGCGCGAGACCGGGAAACAUGGCUGCUCAUCCUAUUCCAGCGGCGCGGCGCGGCCACCAGCCCCCGGAUCGGAGUUGGGAGAGGCUCGCCAGAGGCUCCCGCGCCGGCGGAAUUCAAUCAAUAAACCCCGAACCCACGGCCGCGCGUUUUAGGACUUUGAAGGCUCAACCAGCUCCGCUCGGUUCUCGAGCCCCCAGCACCCGCGUCGCACACAAACCUGAUCGCUGUGGAGGCGGGAUCUGCGGUCGCGCGAAUGAGCGGCAGGAGCUGCAGCCAAUCGCCGCCGAGGAUCUCUGGGCAACAGCCAGUGGCGGCAGCAGCGGCGGGGGAAGGGACCAAUGGGCGGGCUGCGCAGCCGGCCAGGGAGGCUCAGCCAUUUGGUUGUGGUGCCGGAGACGGACCCCUUUAGAUUUCUGGGCGGCUGAGGAGCGCGGCCGCUGCUCCGUGGCUGAGCGAGCGGGGUGGGAGGAAUGGCGGGGGAAGGGAAGGUGACUACCUCGAGAGCCGAGCCGCCCGGCCUCGCCAGCCCGCCGCCGCCUCAGCGUUUGGCCGGGGGCGGGGCCGCAGGUGCGUUAUUCCAGGGGGAGGGGCGCGGCCGGAGGGGUCGGGUAGGGGUCCUCGCGGGGCCCGGGCCUCGCAGGGCCGCCCUAGGCCUGCGCGCGCCACCCCAGGGGGUUGCGGAAGGAGGCGGUUGGCGCGAGGUUUGGGAGUCGCGGGCUGCUGGGCAGGCGGGAGGAUAAAAGGCCUGGGAAGAGGGGGAGGGAUCAAGGGUGCAGUGAGGGGUGUGUGGGAGGGGGGCGGCUGGUCAUUUUUUGGGUCCGGCGGGCGGAGCUGGUGGAACUUGGCUGCUGCCCCCCUUCUCCGAGGGCUCCCAUCCCCGGCUCACCGCCCGCGCGCCCCUUCUCCACUCUCGUCCUAGUCCAGCCGCGGCCAUCGCCGCCCCUCGAAUAAAUAAGUAAAUAAAACCAAGUCCGUCCACCUUUGGAUGACGAACCUCGUGGUCUCGACCCUUUCCACGGAGGGGCCUUUCAAAUCGCUGUCAUGUCAGGUCAGCUUGGGAGGAGUGGUCACCAAAAAGGCACCCAGGAUCUUGUUUAGUCAAUGAAUGGAGACCGUGGCUUAAGAAUUGUGUAUGUAUGGGAUAUUAAGAAGUGGGGAAGGAAGGUGCUAAUAACUUCUGCUUUUCGGGACCAAACCUAAUUUAUGGGCUUUAUAGACCCAAUGAAAGAAAACGGCGCACCGUUUGGUCUAAUCGUCCAGCGGAGUCAUAUGGUUCACCCCGGCUGCCGAAGAGGCUCUGUUGGGAGCACUUCAUCAGGCCUCUGCGCUUGCUUGCUUUCCGUUUUCCGAAUCACAACCGUUGUAAGAGACCUGAAAGCCUUAAUGCCCGCUGGGCUCCCAACUUCUGUGUGCAGGCCUACGGUCUUGGCUGCCUGUGGUGGUUAAUAAAUCGUGGGGUUGCUACCAACAAGGAAAGAUACACCUUGAUCCUUCCAUACAACUGUUUUUAAGUGCUUUCAUUUCUACACGCCUAGACUCUCACCAUACACUGUAAGGUCGUUUUUUUCUGUUUGGAUACAUGUGUUUCUUUUUCAGGGACGUGGGUUCAAGGGACAGAUAAGUCAGUAUGUAUGUUGCAAAUGUGAAAUGUCCUUACAUAACACCAAUGCAGUUUCAUUCUUGGGCAUAUAAAGUUUAGAGGAGGAAAUAAAAAGUGACAGAAGGUAAAUAAAACACAUACAGAAUGCCUGCACUGGGGAAGAAACUUGUAGUCACUAAUAUUGCAACCUGAUGGGUUACAAAAGCAAAGUCCUGCAGCUAAGCAUUUUGCUCAGUAAAUUCUUUCAGAUAAGAUAAUGAAAUUUGAAAAGUGAUCAUGUUCUUUGAGUAGCUUGGAAAUGAGGAAUACAAAAUUGAAUGUCAUUGUGUUAUAUGGGAAUAAACAGUAUAGAAUUUAUUUGACUUGACUUAGCUGACAUGUCUUCCUCAGUGUUGUUAAUCUUAUUGAAGUCAAUUUGUGUAUUUUGAAUUUAUUCUUUUUAAAAUUGUACUAGCUCCGUUAUAAAAUGUUCUGGGACCCCAAAUUA